UGGGGCUAUAGCUCAGUUGGUAGAGCGUUUCGUUCGCAAUGAAAAGGUCAGGGGUUCAAUUCCCCUUAGCUCCACGGA
rnacentral:tRNA from 1 species